rnacentral:lncRNA from 8 species
AUGGACAUGGGAGGAGGUUAUGGCAGGGGACAAGACCCUGCCAUGGAAGCAGGCGGAGGCAGCGAAGGAGGAUCAACGGCGACUCCGAAGUUCACGACCACGACGGAAGCCCGAGAGGCAGCCCCCCCAAAAAAUGUUGGGGGGGGGCACACGGGUUGGUCGGCGAAGCCGAGGGGCAAGUCUGAGAGCGAGGAGGAAUAUUGGGAUAGACUGAGCAAGAAGUAUUGUGAGAUAGUUGAAGGGGGUAAUGAGGUAGGGUGGAUGCAUUGGUGUCUGGAGCAAGACAGUCGCCGUGAGGAGCGUGGGACCAGUCAGGCACCAUGUUUUGCGGAUAUACGCAAUGUGUCUCCAGUGCGCAUCCACAGCCCGGUGCAUUCUGUGCCAGCUCCUCGCACUUGCCGUGUGAAAGUGAGCAUUCAGCCAGGACGAGUUGUGCCGGCUCAGCGCUCCUGGUCUCCAGUACGCCUCCUCGGUCCAGGAUAUCCUGCGCCAGCUCUAUGCAUUGUGUCGCCAGUGCGCCUUCACAGCCCAUUGCGUCCUGUGCCAGCGCCCCGCACUUGCCGGGCUAAAGUGAGUAUCCAGCCAGGAUGGGUUGUGCCAGCUCUACGCUCCAGACCUCCAGUGCGCCUCCAUGGUCCAGUAUAUCCUGCACCGGUUCUACGCACCACGUCUCCAGUGCGCCUCCACAGCCCAGUACGUCCUGUGCCUGCUCCUCGCACUCUUCCUGAAGUGCGUGUCCCCAGUCAGGUACGUCCUGUGCCUGCUCCCCGCACUCGCCCUGAGGUGCGUGUCACCAGUCUGGUGCCACCUGUCCCGGCUCCAUGCACCAGGCCUCCAGUGCGCAUUCACAGUCCAGAGCUUCCGGCGACAGUUCCCAGUCCAGAGCUUCCGGCGACAGUUCCCAGUCCAGAGCUUCCGGCGACAGUUCCCAGUCCAGAGCUUCCGGCGACCGUUCCCAGUCCAGAACUUCCGGCGACGGUACCCAGUCCAGAGCUUCCGGCGACGGUUCCCAGUCCAGAGCUUCCAGUAACGGUUCCCAGUGCAGAGCCUCUGGCGACAGUUCCCAGUCCAGAGCUUCUGGCGACGGUUCCCAAUCAGAGGCAGCUGUCUAUCGUUGUCUCUGAUUGGAGAUCAUACUUAGGCAGCCUUUUUCCCACCUUAGUUUGUGGGAUCUUGUUUUUGGUACUGUUUGUUUUGUUUUUGGUGUUCAUUUAA